CCAGACUCCUACGGGAGGCAGCAGUGAGGAAGAGUGGUCAAUGGGCGUACGCCUGAACCAGACAAGUCGCGUGAGGGAAGACUGCCCUAUGGGUUGUAAACAUCUUUUAUCAGGGAGAAAUUGGCGCUAAGUGUAGCGUUAUCGAGAGUACCCGUAGAACAAGCAUCGGCUAACUCCGUGCCAGCAGCAGCGGUAAUACGGAGGAUGCGAGCGUUAUCCGGAUUUAUUGGGUUUAAAGGGUGCGCAGGCGGCACGGCAGGCCGGCGGUGAAAUCGCGGGGCUCAACCCCGCCCAGCCGUCGGAACUGCCGGGCUAGAGUGGGCGAGAAGUGCGCGGAAUGCGUGGUGUAGCGGUGAAAUGCAUAGAUAUCACGCAGAACUCCGAUUGCGAAGGCAGCGCACCGGCGCCCUACUGACGCUCAGGCACGAAAGCGUGGGUAUCGAACAGGAUUAGAUACCCGUGUA
rnacentral:rRNA from 1 species